GACGAACCGUGCGAACGUUGUUCGGAAUCACUGGGUUUAAAGGGCGCGUAGGCGGGCUGCCAAGUCGGUGGUGAAAUCUUUCGGCUCAACCGGAAAGAUUGCCUUCGAUACUGGCGGCCUGGAGGGAGGUAGGGGCAUGCGGAACUUCCGGUGGAGCGGUGAAAUGCGUAGAUAUCGGAAGGAACACCGAUGGCGAAAGCAGCGUGCUGGACCUUUUCUGACGCUGAGGCGCGAAAGCCAGGGGAGCGAACGGG
rnacentral:rRNA from 1 species